UAGUCCACGCCGUAAACGAUGAGAACUAGCCGUUGGGCCUAUUAAAAGGUUUAGUGGCGAAGCUAACGCGAUAAGUUCUCCGCCUGGGGAGUACGGCCGCAAGGUUAAAACUCAAAUGAAUUGACGGGGGCCCGCACAAGCGGUGGAGCAUGUGGUUUAAUUCGAUGCAACGCGAAGAACCUUACCACCCCUUGACAUCCUCAGAAUUUGUCAGAGAUGACUUAGUGCCUUCGGGAACUGAGAGACAGGUGCUGCAUGGCUGUCGUCAGCUCGUGUUGUGAGAUGUUGGGUUAAGUCCCGCAACGAGCGCAACCCUUGUCCCUAGUUGCCAGCACGUAAUGGUGGGAACUCUAGGGAGACUGCCGGUGACAAACCGGAGGAAGGUGGGGAUGACGUCAAGUCAUCAUGGCCCUUACGGGUAGGGCUACACACGUGCUACAAUGGUCGGUACAGAGGGUUGCGAAGCCGCGAGGUGGAGCUAAUCUCAUAAAACCGAUCGUAGUCCGGA
rnacentral:rRNA from 1 species